rnacentral:rRNA from 1 species
GUGGGGAAUCUUCCGCAAUGGACGAAAGUCUGACGGAGCAACGCCGCGUGAGUGAUGAAGGUCUUCGGAUUGUAAAGCUCUGUUAAUCGGGACGAAAGAGCCUAGUGUGAAUAAUGCUAGGAAGUGACGGUACCGGAAUAGAAAGCCACGGCUAACUACGUGCCAGCAGCCGCGGUAAUACGUAGGUGGCAAGCGUUGUCCGGAAUUAUUGGGCGUAAAGCGCGCGCAGGCGGAGCUGCCAGUCUGUCUUAAAAGUUCGGGGCUUAACCCCGUGAUGGGAUGGAAACUACAGAUCUAGAGUAUCGGAGAGGAAAGUGGAAUUCCUAGUGUAGCGGUGAAAUGCGUAGAUAUUAGGAAGAACACCAGUGGCGAAGGCGACUUUCUGGACGAAAACUGACGCUGAGGCGCGAAAGCCAGGGGAGCGAACGGGAUUAGAUACCCCAGUAGUCC